rnacentral:rRNA from 1 species
AUUGAACGCUGGCGGCAGGCCUAACACAUGCAAGUCGAGCGGGGUUUUCGGACCUAGCGGCGGACGGGUGAGUAAUGCGUAGGAAGCUACCCGAUAGAGGGGGAUACCAGUUGGAAACGACUGUUAAUACCGCAUAAUGUCUACGGACCAAAGUGUGGGACCCUCGGGCCACAUGCUAUCGGAUGCGCCUACGUGGGAUUAGCUAGUUGGUGAGGUAAUGGCUCACCAAGGCGACGAUCCCUAGCUGGUUUGAGAGGAUGAUCAGCCACACUGGAACUGAGACACGGUCCAGACUCCUACGGGAGUCAGCAGUAAGGAAUAUUGGACAAUGGGCGCAAGCCUGAUCCAGCCAUGCCGCGUGUGUGAAGAAGGCCUUCGGGUUGUAAAGCACUUUCAGUAGGGAGGAAGCGUUGUGUGUUAAUAGUACACAGCGUUGACGUUACCUACAGAAGAAGCACCGGCUAACUCUGUGCCAGCAGCCGCCGUAAGAC